CGGGUUUGGCAGGUUGUUACUUA
rnacentral:siRNA from 1 species